rnacentral:rRNA from 1 species
AUUGAACGCUGGCGGCAGGCCUAACACAUGCAAGUCGAACGAGUGGCGGACGGGUGAGUAAUGUCUGGGAAACUGCCUGAUGGAGGGGGAUAACUACUGGAAACGGUCUCUAAUACCGCCUACCAUCCGAUGUCCCCAGAUGGGAUUGGCUUUUUGGUGGGGUAACGGCUAACCAAGGCGACGAUCCCUAGCUGGUCUGAGAGGAUGACCACCCCCACGGGAACUGAGAAAAGGUCCAAGCUCCUUUGGUCGUCAGCAGGUCAGAAUAGUGCUCAAUGGGCGCAAGUCUGCAGCAGCCAUGCCGCGUGUAUGUAGAAGUACAUAGGUUUUUAAAGCACUUUCAGUGUGGAGGCGUUACCUGUAGAAGAAGCCCCGGCUAAUGCCGUGCCAGCAGCCGCGGUAAUAC